rnacentral:sRNA from 1 species
UGAACACAACAAAAAAA